rnacentral:rRNA from 1 species
GUGGGGAAUCUUGCGCAAUGGGCGAAAGCCUGACGCAGCCAUGCCGCGUGAAUGAUGAAGGUCUUAGGAUUGUAAAAUUCUUUCACCGGGGACGAUAAUGACGGUACCCGGAGAAGAAGCCCCGGCUAACUUCGUGCCAGCAGCCGCGGUAAUACGAAGGGGGCUAGCGUUGCUCGGAAUUACUGGGCGUAAAGGGCGCGUAGGCGGACAGUUUAGUCAGAGGUGAAAGCCCAGGGCUCAACCGUGGAAUUGCCUUUGAUACUGGCUGUCUUGAGUACGGGAGAGGUGAGUGGAACUCCGAGUGUAGAGGUGAAAUUCGUAGAUAUUCGGAAGAACACCAGUGGCGAAGGCGACUCACUGGCCCGUUACUGACGCUGAGGCGCGAAAGCGUGGGGAGCAAACAGGAUUAGAAACCCUGGUAGUCC